GCUCAGUGUUGGAGGCGGGGCCUGGUGGGAGGUGAUUGGAUCAUAAAGGUGGAUGCUUCAUAAUGGUUUAGCACCAUUGCCCCGAUGCUGUUCUCAUGACAGUGAAUGACUUCUUAUGAGAUCUGGUUGUGAAAAAGUGCAGCACUUCCACCCUCUGUCUUUUGCUCCUGCUCCGGCCAUGUAAGAUGAGCCUGAUUCCCCUUCACCUCUGCCAUUGUAAGUUUCCUAAGGCCUCCCCAGAAGCUGACCAGAUGCCAGCAUCAUGCUUCCUCUACAAGAUACUAUAACAGUCUACCAUAACCUGAGUGGCUUAAAAGAAAUAUAUACUUUCACAGUUUUGGAGGCUAGAAAUCUAAAGUCAAGUUAUAGCCAGGACGAUGCUCUCUCUGACACUCUGGGAGGUGGAAGGCAUGAAAAUAGGUUAAAGAUAUAAUUGGGAAAGAAGUAGCACAGCAGCACUCAUGACAGCCAGGAUUGGAGCUAUGUGAUGUGCCAGCUCACCCUUUGCCUUCUGCCAUGAUUCUAAGCUUCCUGAUUCCUCAUCAGAAGCCAAGCAGAUGCCCAGUGCCAUGCUUCCUGCACAGCCUGCAGAACCAUGAGCCAAUAAAAUUUUUCUUUAUGAAUUACUCAGUCUGAGGUAUUUCCUUAUAGCAAUGCAAGAAUGGCUAAUACAGAUGUCAAGUCUUCCCAAUUUGAUCCUGAAAGUCAAAGUGCUUAGUUAGUGUCUUCACAAAGGAUUCUCUUUAGAUACACAACCCACAUCCUCUGAAGGCUUUACUUACCUCAAGUUAAUCAUUUGUUUUACCAAAAUCAGGCUUUUUUUUUUUUUAACAACUUCUAACAUAUGAAAUCAGUAAUUA
rnacentral:lncRNA from 1 species